CUCUUCCUCCUCAACUGAGUCAGAAUGAUCUCAGCUACCCUUUGUAUGCUGCUGCCAGCUAGCCCAGACUUCUCAACAGCAACUCAAGGGGAAAAUGAAGCAGUGGGAAAUAUUAUUAAUGUGUGGAAAGAAAACAAAUUAAAUCAACAUUGCUAAUUAUUAUACCAGCAGAGUAAAAUCCAACUAUUUAACAGAAGUUAGGAAAGGAGGCAACAGGAGGAACACAAAGGAAGUUUGUGAAGUAGAAAACAUGAAAGAAGAUGACAGAAACAUUUCUACAAGUGAACCUAUGUGAACAGGGGACAUUCCAGAUCCCGUCUGCCUUCUGCCUCCCUCGUGCAUCACAACCCACCAGCCUUUGCUGGCACAGAGGGACUUGGUGCCUUUUCUGUACCUCUGCUUGGCUGGUGAACUCCUCUACAGGGCCCACACCAUGUUCAGCUUACCUGUCCCAUGAUCAUAAUCAUCUCCAGGAGCUGUCCACGUCAGAUUAAUGAGAUUGCUUUCUUCGA